rnacentral:rRNA from 1 species
UACGUAGGGGGCAAGCGUUGUCCGGAAUCAUUGGGCGUAAAGAGCGUGUAGGCGGCCCGGUAAGUCCGCUGUGAAAGUCCAGGGCCCAACCCUGGGAUGCCGGUGGAUACUGUCGGGCUCGAGUCCGGAAGAGGAGUGUGGAAUUCCUGGUGUAGCGGUGAAAUGCGCAGAUAUCAGGAGGAACACCAAUGGCGAAGGCAGCACUCUGGGACGUGACUGACGCUGAGACGCGAAAGCGUGGGGAGCAAACAGG